UUAAUAAUUGGCUGCAAAAUUUACCGAUUUCCCAGUAUUUGUUUUUUAGAAGUAUAUUUUGAAAUAAUAUGGAAAUUUGUAGUUGAUGUAUAAUUAUUAUAUUAGUAAAAGCUGUUGGAAUCAAAACUUGAAAGAUGCUGUUAUUUAAACAAUGCUGGAAGUUGAAGAAGUUGUAGAAAAAGAAGUUUUACUUGGAUUAUUUAACUGUGAUACAUGUAGAAUUUUGUCUUGCUGAAUAAGUAAAACGUUAAUUGUGAUAUUAAACAGAAAUAUUUUUUUAAGUAAAAAUACUGUGUUCUUUGAGUGUUGUGAAAAAUAAGAAAUCCCUCAAAUAUAAUGUAUUUUAACUCCAUCGUAAAUGGUAAUGGGUUAAAAUGUCAAUGUUAUAAAGUUAAAUGGAAGAUAUAAAAAUAAUGUUUUAAUCCAGUUGACAUGUGAUAGCAGAAGAUAGGGUUAUGUAUUUAGAAUUAAUGUUAUUAGUACAGAAAUGCCGGUACAGUAGUACAGUAUUUAUUCAGAUGUAUGUAAUUGAUAAUAUUAAAUAUAAAUAAAA